rnacentral:rRNA from 1 species
AUACGUAGGUGGCGAGCGUUGUCCGGAUUUACUGGGUGUAAAGGGUGCGUAGGCGGAUAUUUAAGUCAGAUGUGAAAUACCCGGGCUUAACUUGGGAACUGCAUUUGAAACUGGAUAUCUAGAGUACAGGAGAGGAAAGCGGAAUUCCUAGUGUAGCGGUGAAAUGCGUAGAGAUUAGGAAGAACACCGGUGGCGAAGGCGGCUUUCUGGACUGUAACUGACGCUGAGGCACGAAAGCGUGGGGAGCAAACAGGAUUAGAUACCCUGGUAGUCCACGCCGUAAACUAUGAAUACUAGGUGUGGGGGGAGUGAUACCUCCGUGCCGCAGUUAACGCAUUAAGUAUUCCACCUGGGGAGUACGAUCGCAAGAUUAAA